GAGCCCUAGCUGCUCAGAAUGGUUUGGUUUCCUUGAAAUCCUAUUGUGGCAGACUGAUACACCCUCCAUCCAGUUCCAUGACUGCUGCUUUUUCCAUAGGACCAUCCUCGCACCUGAAGAAUGUGGGAAUGAUGAGCCCUGCUGGAAUCUAAACCAAUCUGCCCUUCACUUCAGACUCCCAAAUGCUUGCUCCACAGCAUGAUGCCUUGUUGGGAUUGAGGUGGUUUUUUGUUUUUUUUUUUCCCCCUCUUCUUUUUUUUCAAGAGUCGGGUUUUGGCACCAUUUCUGUCGGUUGCACUGGAACAUAAGAGGAGAGUAGCUACAGAUUUUAAAUUAUGGAUGCCUUCAUCCAAUCAUUUUCGAAGGAGGAAAAACCCAAGUCUAAUACUCUCAAGCAGGACCACAGUCUCCUGGGCAUCAGUUAUCGUUCAGCACAGCCGACUCCUCCUCCUGCACACCUCUGAAGAUGUAAUCCCAGAAGGCGAC
rnacentral:lncRNA from 1 species